AAACUUAUCAGGGAGGAAAAUAAGAAAUCAAUGACGAAUUUAGCCGACUUAAAUCGAUAAAUCUAAUCAACAAUAGCUAGAUAAAUCUUACAAAAAUUCGAAACCUUAGACACCUGAACAAAUUUUUAAAAUUUAAUCAAAAGAUAAGACACGUACCGGAAAAGUAAACCGAAUCGGGUAUAAAAAGAGAAGCUCUCAAGAAGCACUGGGUCACUUCAGUCAAUCACUUCAGUCGGUCACUUCAGUCAAUCACUUUAGAUCGGUCAGUUCAGUUCGUCAUUGAUUUUUAAUAGUCCAUACUCAGUUUGCGUGAUGCGGAUAUACACUUUCGGUCAUCGAACAAGUGCCACAAGCAUCAUCCUUGAUGCUAAAGACCAAGAGUCCAGACUGAGAGUCGCACCUCAACCACCACUAACGUUUUUUAUUGAAAACUAUUGGAAGAGAUUUUGAAAGAAAAUAUCUGAAAUGCAAAAAUAAAUUGAUUUCAUUAUGGAAUUUGCAUUUUGAAAAAUAUUACAAAUUAUUAGAAAAACAUCUUUCAACAGAAGAUCGACUCAAUCAGAUUCUCAUCCAGUCAUAAUUUUUGGAAUUAAAUAGUAAAAAACUCCUUCAGAUUUGGAUUUUA